AUGGCGUUCAGCAGACUCAACGGCCAGAUGGAAGCCAAGGCAGCCGCGGUUUUGUUCAUUGUGCUCCUUGGAUGCUCCAUGCUCAUGUUGGUCUCCUCAACUGAUGGUGAGAUCGGCAGAUCAGGUUGUCCUCGUCUUUCGGAUGGCGAUGCCAUAGGCAAAGACGACACCCCGUUCCCAAAAAUGUGCAUAGGGAGGAGGCACGGCCCUGAGAACGUCGAAUUCUGUUGUGCAACAUUGCCAGGACUACCUUGCUGGCGAACGCAGGAAGAGUGCCUCCACGUUUGCCCAUAG
rnacentral:rRNA from 1 species